ensembl:lncRNA
AUAUAUAUAUAUAUAUAUAUAUAUAUAUAUAUAUAUAUAUAUAUAUAUAUAUAAAAUAAUUAUUAUGUGUAUCUGUGCAAAUGCUUCUGGUUCUGCCACAUACCAUAGUCUCUACUUUUGUGGCUAGGCUUUUAAAUUCCGGAGUUUGAGGGUCUUUCAGUGCUGGAACAAACACCUCUAUAAUGACAAUCUGUAUGGCAACAGUUGGCUGAGGACGUGCUGGUGCUGCUGUUGUGGUUGCUGCUGUUGUUAUUGUGGUUGUUGUUGCUGUUGUUUUAGGAUUGGCAGUAGAUGUUGUUGUUGUUGUUGUUGUUUUUGUUGUUGUUGUUGUUGUUGUUGUGGUUGUGGGUGUUGUUGUUACAGUUGUAUUAGGUUUGGCAGUAGAUGUUGUGGUUGUUGUUGUGGUUGCUGUUGGUGCUGUUGUAUUAGGAUUGACAGUAGAUGUUGUGGUUGCUGUUGAUGCUGUUGUAUUAGGCUUGGCAGUAGAUGUUGUGGUUGCUGUUGUUGAUGAUACUGUUGUAUUAGGAUUGGCAGUAGAUGCUGUGGUUGUUGUUGUUGCUGUUGUAAUAGGAUUGACAAUAGAUGUUGUGGUUGUUGUUGAUGCUGUUGUAUUAGGAUUGGCAGUAGAUGUUGUGGUUGUUGGUGAUGCUGUUGUAUUAGGAUUGACAGUAGAUGUUGUGGUUGCUGUUGAUGCUGUUGUAUUAAGAUUGGCAGUAGAUGUUGUGGUUGUUGUUGGUGAUGCUGUUGUAUUAGGAUUGGCAGUAGAUGUUGUGGUUGUUGUUGUUGCUGCUGCUGUUGUUGUGUUAGGUGUGGUUGUAGUUGUAAUUGUAGUGGAACUGGUUGUAGUGGCUUUGGUAGUUGUGGUGAAGGGCUUCCAUACUGUUGUGUGGGUUUGGUUAUUUUGUAGAAUAUGA